AGUCGCACUUUGUCUGGGAUUUUUAACUGACAGGAAGACGGAUUUGGGAGGGAAGUUGACCAGAGACGGAAAAUUUAUUGCUCCCCGUGUCGGGCUGUGAUCUGUUUUCAAAUACAAGAAAUAUUUUCACUACAUGUGCCGUCAAGAUGCGCCUGAGAAAGACAUGACACCCACCGCCCGGCGAUCCACAGACUCCUUACAGAAAACGCUCCCAAGGCCGAGGCAGACCGAUAAUAACCACGGGUUUUGGUGACUGGACGCAACAGGAGAUGCUCACCUGGGCGGAGGAGGAAAACCCCGAACGUCCUCCAGCGGGGACAGGGCGCCCUCUGGUGAAGAACAGCAGUCCCACAGCAUGCUGCUGCCACCACCAUGUUUCACAGUGGGGAUUCAUUCACGUGGUGUGUUGAAGAAAGCUCAGUAAUGACACGUAUUCAUGCUGCAUUUGGGAAGACCUAUCUGUCAAGCAACUGAACGAGGGGCGGUCCAACUCCAACAGGCGCCGGUCUGCUCCAUUCCACCUCUACACAAAUACCUCAGUGGAACUUGUGUGGAGCUUCCAGACCCCAGACGCUUCGCCAUUUCAUCAUUUGACACUGUUUGACAUGUCUGAAUCAUAUUUUACGCAUUAUGUUAACACCUCGGAUCCCUGGAAGCCAGCGUGCGCGCAGACAGUAGACAGUGGAGAUGAAUGUGUCGGGGCUCCGCCGCUCCACUCCCACAGACUCCCACCUCUCUCUCUCUCUCUCUCUCUCUCUCUCUGACAAAUGAAUGCCAGUUCUGUGGAGGCGCUUCAGGUAUGUGUUGCGUUGUAAAUCAGGCUCUUUUUUAAAAACCCAGCGACGCGCAGGCAGUCCACACAGAGCCACUGAGACUUGUGCGGUUAAGUAACUGCUUAGCCGUCUGCACCCAGGGCCGCAUUUAGGAGGAUCUGAGCCCCUGGGCUAGAGUUAAAUUGGUGCCUGACUUACAAAUUCAAAGUUUUAGACUUCUUGUAUCCAUUUUUCCCCCAAAUGGAAACAGCAUACAUACUUAAAAAAGAGAAAAUGUCACAGUACAUGAGCCAGGUCUGUUUGUGACAAACUGAAAUGUGUUUUAAUUCAUUUGUUUUUUGGCAUAUAAAAUCCAACGUUUUAAAAAACUAAACUUGAUCUGGGUUCAUUCGAACCCUGUAAAGGUUGAAGUCCAGCCUUCAUGUUAUUGCAUGAAUAUGACACCAACCAAUCCAGAGAAAUAAGACAAAAUCCAGGCUGCACUGUGUAAAUGGAUUUUAGCAACUGUGAAAUAUUAGCCGUUAAAACGAUACAAUUUUGUUAACAGAUAUCAGUUUGCAGAGUGAUGCUUAGCACUGGCUCAGUUCCAAAACGUGUUAGCUAAUAUAUCUGGAUCACAAAUCCUACUGAAACAGUUUGAUUAUUUCUCGUGAUGUAAAACAGAAAAUCCUACAGCGGGUUUGUUUUUUAUGAGUUUUGUUGAACUCAGAAAAAGUUAAAAACUGUCAUAAAACUUGUGGUUGAGAAAGUUUGUGUGUUUCUAGCCGUUCCUGUUUUGUCUUUUAGUUUAGCUUUUUAACCAGAAAUGUUGGUGGUUGUAUUAAAAAUUAGAUUUGAAAACAGCUUGUUUCUGUCUGACAAAAAUCACAAACCAUAUUUAUUUCAUUUUAACGUCGGCUAACAAACCACAAAGAUUUUAAUUACUAACUUAGAUGAGUGUCUUUUAGCUGUUAAAUUUACAAAAUGUAUACUCAAAACAUCAACUAAGUAAAUUGUGAAGUUCUAACUGGUAGUUUUACGAGUGUAAAAUUAACACACUACAGUUUAAUACUUAUUUUUUACAGUACAUGCUCCCCUCUGGAUAUAAAAUACUUUUUAAAGCAACAUUUUUAUCACUUUAUUGCAGAUUUGAUCAUUUUUGCAGUGCUCUAUAUGGGUCUUGCACUUAAAAAUACGACGACUUAAUGUAAUAAUUUUGUUAUGCUUAA